AUGUAUAGCUAAAGCUAUAUGUUUUUUUUACAAAAACAUAUUUGAUUUAUUCGUAUAAAAUUCUAGAUAGAAUUAUGAUAAUGACAUUAUCUAUCUAUUAGUCUUGACCAACAUGCGUGCCAGCAGUCGCGGCAAGACGCUAAAGACAAGUGUUAUUCAUCUUUAAUAGGUUUAAAGGGUACCUAGACGGUAAAUUAAGCCUCAAUAAGGAACUAAUUUAACUAGAGUUAGAUGUAAGGGUGCAUUAACGUACUAUUGAGUGGAGAGAUGAAAUUCUAUUAUACCAGAUUAUUGGCACGGGUUUAGGCGAAAGCAUCACCUUAUGUAAUAACUGACGUUGAGGGACGAAGGCUUUGUAUCGCUAAAAGGAUUAGAUACCCAAGUAGUCUAAGCAGUAAAUGAUGAAUGUCAUAGGUUAAAUAUUAUUAUUUAAACUAUAAAUGAAAGUGUAAGCAUUCCACCUCAAGAGUAAUAUGGCAACGUAGGAAUUGAAAUCAUUAGACCGUUUCUGAAACCAGUAGUGAAGUAUGUUGUUUAAUUAGAUGGUCCACAAAGAACCUUACCACAAUUUGAAUAUUAUACAAGCGUUGCACGGCUGUCUUCAGUUAAUGUCGUGAGAUUGUGGUUAGUUCCAUUAAAUUAACGUAAACCCUUGCUUUAUUUUUUUUUUUUAUAAAGUAGUUC
rnacentral:rRNA from 1 species